GCCGGGCAUGGUGGUGCACGCCUGUAAUCCCAGCUACUCAGGAGGCUGAGGCAGGAGAAUCACUUGAACCCAGGAGGCAGAGGUUGCAGUGAGCCAAGAUGGUGCCACUGCACCGCAGCCUGGGCGACAGAGUGAGACUUUGUCUCAA
rnacentral:SRP_RNA from 1 species